rfam:Ixodes scapularis strain Wikel colony gcontig_1108379449786, whole genome shotgun sequence.
GCAGUCGUGGCCGAGUGGUUAAGGUGAUGGACUAGAAAUCCAUUGGGGUCUCCCCGCACAGGUUUGAAUCCUGUCGACUGCG